rnacentral:rRNA from 1 species
UACGGAGGGUGCAAGCGUUAUCCGGAUUCACUGGGUUUAAAGGGUGCGUAGGUGGGUCUGUAAGUCAGUGGUGAAAUCUCCGUGCUUAACAUGGAAACUGCCAUUGAUACUAUAGGUCUUGAAUUUUCUGGAGGUCAGCGGAAUAUGUCAUGUAGCGGUGAAAUGCUUAGAUAUGACAUAGAACACCAAGUGCGAAGGCAGCUGGCUACAGGGAUAUUGACACUGAGGCACGAAAGCGUGGGGAUCAAACAGG